GAUGAACGCUGGCGGCGUGCUUAACACAUGCAAGUCGAACGAUGAACCGGGUGCUUGCACUCGGGGAUUAGUGGCGAACGGGUGAGUAACACGUGAGCAACCUGCCCCUGACUCUGGGAUAAGCGCUGGAAACGGCGUCUAAUACUGGAUAUGUCCCGUCACCGCAUGGUGUGCGGGUGGAAAGAUUUUUCGGUUGGGGAUGGGCUCGCGGCCUAUCCGCUUGUUGGUGAGGUAAUGGCUCACCAAGGCGUCGACGGGUAGCCGGCCUGAGAGGGUGACCGGCCACAAUGGGACUGAGACACGGCACAGACUCCUACGGGAGGCAGCAGUGGGGAAUAUUGCACAAUGGGCGGAAGCCUGAUGCAGCAACGCCGCGUGAGGGAUGACGGCCUUCGGGUUGUAAACCUCUUUUAGCAGGGAAGAAGCGAGAGUGACGGUACCUGCAGAAAAAGCACCGGCUAACUACGUGCCAGCAGCCGCAGUAA
rnacentral:rRNA from 1 species